UUAGGAAUUUUGGGCAAUGGGCGAAAGCCUGACCCAGCAACGCCGCGUGGGUGAAGAAGGUCUUCGGAUCGUAAAGCCCUUUUCUGUGGGAAGAUGAUGACGGUACCACAGGAAUAAGCAUCGGCUAACUACGUGCCAGCAGCCGCGGUAAUACGUAGGAUGCGAGCGUUGUCCGGAUUUAUUGGGCGUAAAGAGCGCGCAGGUGGUUGGAUAAGUUGGGUGUGAAAGACCCUGGCUUAACUAGGGGAGGUCAUCCAAAACUAUCCAGCUUGAGGGCAGCAGAGGAAAGUGGAAUUCCCGGUGUAGUGGUGAAAUGCGUAGAUAUCGGGAGGAACACCAGUGGCGAAGGCGGCUUUCUGGGCUGUCACUGACGCUGAGGCGCGAAGCGUGGGGAGCGAACCGAUUAGAUACUCGGGUAGUCCACGCCCUAAACGAUGGACACUAGGUGUAGGGGGUAUCGACCCCCCUGUCGCCGAAGCUAACGC
rnacentral:rRNA from 1 species